GGCGGCUUUUCCCCGUCUCCGGAGAGACUAGGGGUCCUGGCCCUUCUGGGCUUCCGUAUCUCCCUCCGCGCCCGGCCCUUUCACGUGACAAGCUACGACUAAACAAAUCGGUGACGGAGGAGGGAGGUGGACACACCCCAUUGGUUGCAAGUAGAGACACGCCCCCGACGGGCCUUUUGCCCCGUCACACGGGCGACUUCCGGGAAAGCGGCGAGUGCGGGGCACGUGAGCGGAUGUGAUGUUGGGGAUUGCUCCGGUAAGCGCGACGCUUCCUGUCUCCUCUCGGAGUUGAACUCGGCUCCCAAGUUCCACCUUGCCCCGCCGGUGGAGAAGUUGCUUUCUGGUUGUUUGAUAGACCCGGGGUCGGGGAGGCAAGAGCGCCCCCUGUGCACCUCGAAGAACUGGAGGAGUUGCCCAGAGUUUUCCACUGGUGUCGCUGUUUGAGGGUGUGGAAGGCAGUGCCGUCGCGGCCGGGAGGGGUCCAGACCUUCAGGAGCUCUGUUGUUGUUACCUGCCCCGCGUGCGGUCCUUCUCUUUUAAACUGGGCUUCUGCUCUUGGAUCCCAGACGCGUUGGAGUUUCUUAUUAACUCUUCUGAAGCAACUGUGACAGACUAGCGCGAUAGAAGUUGCCUUUUUUUUUUUUUUUAAUCGAUGGCUAUUUGUUUUUUUAUGGAUAGCUACUGCUUGCCGGCAAUGUGGAGGUGGCAGAUGUAUGGGAAGAUACCGCUUGGUCAUUCAUGAAAUGUGAACGACAUGCUAUGUGCUAAUGUGUUUUUGUUUAUUUUAUUCCACUCGCUGGGCAACUUUUUUUUAAUGAAGGUAAUACUGGUUUACGGUUUAUGAUUUAUUGAUGAAGUGUCACAUCCCUUUAGAUGUAUGGGUUACUUUUUGUUCUUGAAUAUGGCAAUUUCGUUCGUGUCCCAAGGCCUUUGCACUUUACUAUUUCUGCUCUAUUUUUUUAAAAUUUAUUUUAUUUAUAUAAGAGCUGGGGUACAGGUCAGAAGUGUGGGGGGCUCACCAGAGACACAGCGGGGAGCAGAACAAGCAGAUGGGCUGAAAACGCUUCUGAGGGGAGCAGCUGGCGAGACAGGAGAGGUCUGCUGCGCCCUGUGGAUAUCUCCCUGGCUGGCUGGCUGGGAAUCGAACCCGCGCUGCAGAAGCUGCGGACAGCUUCACAGCACUGCCCACAACCCUCUGCGAAAUCGGGGAGGCCCUGCUCUUUUUCUAAUGGCUGCUUGCUUUUCCUUGCAGUUCUCAAGUCGUAUUGACUCCUCAAAGAGGUUCUUAAUCACCUUAUCUAGAAGGCAACUAAAGAUUACUUUUGGAAGUUUAUUUUGAAUUUAACAAAGUUGGCUAAGUUUGGUGGUCCUCAGGCAAGGGGGAGGUUCCAGGUUUCCUGCCCCACCCAAAAGGUAAGGUGUCUACAAGACUGUUAGCUGAGCAGAGAGAGAAGAAGAUGUAGAGGAGACUGAGGAAGGAAGGAAGCAGGAUGGAGAGCCAGAAGGAGACCUGGAGGAGGCACAUGGAACCAAGAGAAGAAACACGUGAAGAAACUGCACUUGCCUUUUGGUCCUGGACUGAUUGAUACAGAUGUGGGGUGGUCCCAGGAAAGGGGGAGGUUCCCUGCCCCACCCAAGGGAGGGUGGAGCUGAGCAGGAGGAGGAGAAGGAGAAGAAGAGACUGAGGAAGGAAGGAAGCAAGAUGGAGCCAGGAGACCUGGAGGAGGCGCAUGGAGCCUAGAGACAUGUGAAGAAACUGCGCUUGUCUUUUGGUCAUGGACUGGGUGACACAGAUGUGGGUGAGACCCGUGGGGAGGUGACAAUGGCAGCUUUUAUCUGGAUGUUGAUUUUGCUCUUUUCCUUCCGGGCUUGUCCGGUUGUUUGUGACCCUUUUCUGUGGGUCCCCACUGGAAGAUGUUUUAGACUUGUGGCAGGCUUUGGGGCCUUGCUCUGGGCCGACCCCAUAUGGAUGGAGUUUUACCCACGAGGGGAUGGGUAACUUUGGGUGCUUCAUUUAGAAACUAGACUCUUUGCCUCACCUGUAUUGUUUCCUAGUUUUAUUAAAGAUCCUUCCCAUUAGUCUCAUGUGUUUUGUGUUGAUGCGGCGGAUGGCAGAACCCAUGUAGAAUAGGCAGGUUUGCAGGGUUUGGGCUGACCCUCUCCCUGUCCUAUAACAAUUUCUCCCUGAGUUGUACAUUUUCUCAAUUCCUUUUCCCUUGUAAAUAAACCUUUUAUUAACCUUUUGUGUGUGCCUGUAGAGUAUUAAUAAGUCCCUUUUAAAGUGCGCGGGUGAGGACCCACAGCCAGGCAACCCGUUUUAUAUCGGGGCUGCUCCGUAACAGUUUCUGAUCCUUUUGUGUGUGUCCCCACUGGAAGAUGCUUUAGACUUGUGGCAGGCUUUGGGGCCUUUCUCUGGGCCAAUCCCGUUUGGGUGGACUUUUGCCCACGAGGGGACGAGUAACUUUGGGUGCUUGAUUUAAAAAACUAUAUUAUUUGCCUUUCCUG